GCCAUCAUAGUAUAGUGGUCAUUAUAAAUCGUUGUGGCCGAUUAGACCCAAGUUCGAUUCUUGGUGAUGGCA